CUCUCGCCUACCAUCGCCGGGCGAGAUUGCCGAGGUAUAAUUUUUUGCCCUAAGUCAAUAAUAAUUGAAAUACUAGAUUGUAGAUAAGUAGAUUAGAUUUUAGAUUUUAAAUAUUUAUCUGUUAACUUCUCUGUUUUAGUCAUUCGUCUAGAAGAUAUGCAUUUGGCAGUGAAAAAAGAAAGAGAAAAAAGGACAGAAGAGUUUAUAGAAUCGUAGAGAGGAGCUAUGGUUAGGUUUUUGACCAGUAAUCCAAGAACUUCAACAAAUACAUAUGAAUUGGCUAUAGUGGUUGUGGAGGAACAACCUAAUAUUAAUCUAGAAGAUCAGGGUCUUCCAUCAGAUGAAAAUUUUGACAUCAACAUGGAUGAUAACAAUGUGAGUGGUCAUGAGCCUAUAUUUAAUUCAUAUCCUACUGAAAAUGCUAAUGUUGAUGAACAAUCGGAUUUUAUUGAGGACAUCUAUGAUCCAAGGAAUCAGAAUAAUCUUGAUAACAAGUCAAGGGACAUAUUAGUACAGAAGGGGGCUAUAAGAGAAGAAAAUAUUGUAUUUCCUUUGGAUGAUAAUGGGAGGCAUUUUUCAUAUAAUCAUUACUUUAGAAAGUUGAGCAAUGGAGAAGUUCAUGAUAGAAAAUGGUUGGUUUAUUCAAAACAUGUUGAUAGACUGUUUUGCUUUUGUUGUAAGAUUUUCAAUUCUGAGAAGUGUAAGAGUUCACUGGCGCAUGAUGGUUUUAGAGAUUGGAAACAUAUCAGUGAUAGGCUUAAAGAACAUGAGGCUAGUAUGGACCAUAUUACCAACAUGAACUCUUGGAAUGAACUGAGAGCUAGACUCAAUAAACAUGAAACAAUCGAUAAAGAAUUUCAGCACCAAAUCACAAAGGAGAAAGAGCGUGUUAGGCAAGUCUUACUAAGAAUAAUUGUUGUUGUCAAAUUUCUUAGUAAGCGUAAUUUAGCAUUUAGAGGAUCCAAUGAGCAACUUUAUAAUGAUCAGAAUGGUAAUUUAUUAUCUUGUGUUGAGAUGAUCACUGAAUUUGAUUUGGUAAUGCAAGAUCACCUUAGGCGUAUAAAAAAUAAUGAGGUUCACUAUCAUUAUCUUAGUCAUAAAAUUCAGAAUGAGUUGGUUUAUCUUUUGGCUUCUGAUAUUACCAAAUCUAUUUUUUGAAGCUUAAAUUACUGUAGGGAGGACCUACAAUAUUUUUUAUUGCAUAAAGAGAAAAAAGAAAAGAAAAUACAGGAGGGUAGUUACAGGAAGGAUAACUAAAAUUAUAGUACAGAGCACUGAAUCCAGGUCUUAAUUUUAUCCCCUAUCUCUGGUUUAACUUGGUGACACAAUAAAUUCAUUUCUGUUUUGAACAUGUCCCGACAUUCCUCCACCGUGGGCGGGAUCUCAUUGAACACCCAAUUGUUUCCGCUUUUCCAGAUGCACCAGGUUAAUAGGAUGAUAGUUUCAAGUUUCCAUGGGUCCUGCCAACGUCUUCUGAUCCUCAGAAUGGUGUUGAUUAAAUCAGUUAUUCGUGGCGGGGAGAUUCCUAUAAAGGACCAGCAUCUCCUAGCAAAACUUCAUCUGAAAAAAAGAUGAAUGACUGUCUCUUCAGCUUGUAAAAUACAGUUGUCAUAGGUGUAUGAAUCCAGUAGCAUAGCUCGCUGUCUUAGAAGUGCCCGGGUAUUUAAUCUGUCCUUAAGUAAUAGUGUCGGCGUUUCGAGACCGGGGGGUCCCUGGGCCGACGAGUGAAUGUCGCCGCGUGCCCCAGCCCAGAUGGGUCGGCGCGAGGUCGAGCACGAAGGGGGGAGAAAGGUGGCCGGAGACGGGCGUGAGAGAGGUGGAAAUCCCGCGGCCUUCGUGUUCGUCCCGCGCCCAGGUCGGGUGCGCUUGCAGUAGGGGGUUACAAGCGUCCACGCGGGUGAGGGAGCGAGCGGCCUUACGCGAGCGCCUGUCUCGUCCUCGUCCCCGCGCGGCCAACCUUAUGUAAGAGGGCCCUGGUCCUUCCUUUUAUAGGCGUAAGGAGAGGAUCCAGGUGUACAAUGGGGGGUGUAGCAAAGUGCUACGUGUCUAGCGGAGGAGAGCUAGUGCCCUAAGUACACGCCAUCGUGGCGGCCGGAGAGGUUUUGGCGCCCGGUUCGUGUGAUGUCGUGGCCGUCGGAGGAGCGCUGGAGCCUGGCGGAGGGACAGCUGUCGGGGCUGUCGAGUCCUUGCUGACGUCCUCUUGCUUCCGUAAGGGGGCGGAGAGCUGCCGUCGUCAGGGAGCGUGCGGGGCGCCAUCAUUGCCUAUCUGGCGGAGCGAGCCAGAUGGGAUGCCGGUCUCGUUCGCCGUAGCCUGAGUCAGCUUGGGGUAGGGUAAUGAUGGCACCUCCUGUUGACGUGGCCAGCUCGCGCCCGAGGUUGGGCGAUUUGGAGGCUCCUCCGAGGUCGAGGUCAAGUCUGUCUUCCGUGGCCGUGGUCGAGUCCGAGCCUCUGGGUCGGGCGAGGCGGAGACCGUCGGCUGAGGCCAGGGCUGAGUCCGAGCCCUGGGGUCGGGCGAAGCGGAGUUCGUCGUUUUCUGGGGCUGAGCCCAAGUCCGAGCCCUGGGUCGGGCGGAGCGGAGUUCGUCGUCUUCAGGGGCUUAGCCCGAGUCCGAGCUCUGGGUCGGGCGGAGCGGAGUUCGCCGUCUUCCGGAGCUUAGCCCAAGUCCGAGCCCUGGGUCGGGCGGAGCGGAGUUCGCCGUCUUCCGGGGCUUAGCCCAAGUCCGAGCCCUGGGUCGGGCGGAGCGGAGUUCACCGUCUUCCGGGGCUUAGCCCGAGUCCGAGCCCUGGGUCGGGCAGAGCGGAGUUCGCCGUCUUCAGGGGCUGGUCUCCGCCUCGCCUGACCCAGAGGCUCGGAUUCGACCACGGCCACGGAAGACAGACUCGACCUCGACCUCGGAGGAGCCUCCACAUCGCCCAACCUCGGGCGCGAGUUGGCCACGUCAACAGGAGGCGCCAUCAUUACCCUACCCCAAGCUGACUCAGGCUACGGGGAACGAGACCGGCGUCCCAUCUGGCUCGCUCCGCCAGAUAGGCAAUGAUGGCGCCCCGCACGCUCCCUGACAACGGCAGCUCUCCGCCCCCUUACGGAAGCAAGAGGACGUCAGCAAGGACUCAACAGCCCCGACAGCUGUCCCUCCGCCAGGCUCCAGCGCUCCUCCGACGGCCACGACAUCACACGAACCGGGCGCCAAAACCUCUCCGGCCGCCACGAUGGCGUGUACUUAGGGCGCUAGCUCUCCUCCGCUAGACACGUAGCACUCUGCUGCACCCCCCAUUGUACACCUGGAUCCUCUCCUUACGCCUAUAAAAGGAAGGACCAGGGCCCUCUUAGAGAAGGUUGGCCGCGCGGGGAUGAGGACGGGACAGGCGCUCGCGUGAGGCCGCUCGCUCCCUCUCCCGCGUGGACGCUUGUAAUCCCCUACUGCAAGCGCACCCGACCUGGGCGCGGGACGAACACGAAGGCCGCGGGAUUUCCACCUCUCUCACGCCUGUCUCCGGCCACCUUUCUCCCCCCUUCGCGCUCGGCCUCGCGCCGACCCAUCUGGGCUGGGGCACGCGGCGACAUUUCACUCGUCGGCCCAGGGACCCCCCGGUCUCGAAACGCCGACAGUUGGCGCGCCAGGUAGGGGCCUGCUGCAUGUUGACGAACAGCUUCCCGUCAAGCUCCAGAUGGGCAGUCUCCAGCAACCUCUCCGGCCCGGGACGGUACUCCGUUUCGGGAGCCUUUAGUUCAUGUCCCUCGACGGCAGCUACGACAUGAUACUCCUUCCCCCGCCGUGCGACAGCGACAAUGGCGGCCGACAGCCCGCCCGCCGGCGGCGGAAUCGACGAUGUCUUCCCCGCGUGGUGGAAGAACAACAUUCGAGCUCACCCCGUCCUCUCCCCCGCCGACGGAGGAGGAGGCGGGGCAACCAAGGCCAAGCAGGAGGCAGCGCCUCGUCGGCUGUCGAGCGAGUCGACGGCGCCAGCGCCCCAACGGGGGGCGCGUCGGGCAUCGACCUCGCGUUUGAGACGAAGACGAGCGCCGUCUCCCUGCAACACGCCAAUCCCGAGCAAACGGACGACGCCAGCACGCUCGCGAAAGGCUUGCUGGACGUCACCCUCGUACCUGAGACGACGGUGCAGUCAGUCCCUGACGUGACUUCAUCACCGCCCGUCAACCAAGAGGUACCGACCGAUUCCCAUCUCACGCCUUUCGGAUUCAGCCUCGACCUGCCAAGCGGCUUCGCUUUGGCGGGCGCUCUCGUAGAGGCGAGUCCAAACCCCCUGGGGUUUCGUGUGCGGUCACCCUGGGACCGGCUGACGGACGUCUCGACCUACGGGCCCUUGGGGUCCGAGGAAGAUGACGGGCCCGACUCCUAUUGGGAUUUCUCUGGACUUGGCGACCCCAGUGCCAUGCGGGACUUCAUGACCGCAUGCGACUACAGACUACUGCCUUUCCGACUGUUCCGACGGUAGCCGCAGCCUCGACGACGAGGACUGCGGCCGAAGCCGCGAAUGUUUCCACGUCGAUCUAGGGGGUCCCUCUAAAGGCAACCAUCUCGGUAUGCCGGAGGAUGGUGAUCUCCCUAGGCCAGUGCCUCGCGCUGACAUCCUACGGGAGCUAGCUGUGGUCCCCGUUCAGGCGGGGGGCCAUGACCCACAGCUCGAGCAAAUCUGCGGGGUCCAGGCCAGGCUCGACGAGGGAGCAGGAGCGCUUGAGCCGAUCCACCGGGACGUCGGGCAGGAAUGGGCGGGCCAACCUCCGGCCAGAGAAAUGCGUCAUCUACCCCAGGGCUUCCAGCACCGCAUCGCCGACGAUGUCAGGAUGAGGCCGCCACCCGCUUCCAAUGGGGUCGGCCAGAACCUGGCAGCAGCAGCAAUGCUUCUCUGUGCGAUGCCAGAGCCAUCAACCACCGAGGGGCGGCGAAUCCAGGGAGAGCUCAAGAAUCUCCUGGAAGGCGCCGCGGUCCGGCGGGCCGAAAGCUCCGCCUCCCGAAGGCAGGGCACCCCUCGGAACAUCGCGCCGCGACUUCCCGAUUCAUGCGGGAAGCCUCGGUCUACACCGGGCGCAUGCGCAACACAGCGCCUGCGGCCCCGGGACGCCUCGGCAACGAGCACCAUCACCGUGAUCGUCGGGCCCACCUCGACGAGAGGGUGCGCCGAGGCUACCACCCCAGGCGUGGGGGACGCUACGACAGCGGGGAGGAUCGGAGUCCCUCGCCCGAACCACCCGGUCCGCAAGCCUUCAGCCGAGCCAUACGACGGGCGCCGUUCCCAACCCGGUUCCGACCCCCGACUACUAUCACAAAGUACUCGGGGGAGACGAGACCAGAGGUGUGGCUCGCGGACUACCUGCUGGCCUGCCAACUGGGUGGAACGGACGAUGACAACCUCAUCAUCCGCAAUCUCCCCCUGUUCCUCUCCGACACCGCUCGCGCCUGGUUGGAGCACCUGCCUCCGGGGCAGAUCUCCAACUGGGACGACCUUGUCCAAGCCUUCGCCGGCAAUUUCCAGGGCACGUACAUACGCCCUGAGAAUUCUUGGGACCUCCGAAGCUGCCGACAGCAGCCGGGAGAGUCUCUCCGGGACUACAUCCGGCGAUUCUUGAAGCAGCGCACCGAGCUGCCUAACAUCACCGACUCGGAUGUCAUCGGCGCGUUCCUCGCCGGCACCACCUGCCGCGACCUGGUGAGCAAGCUGGGUCGCAAGACCCCCACCAGGGCGAGCGAGCUGAUGGACAUCGCCACCAAGUUCGCCUCUGGCCAGGAGGCGGUCGAGGCUAUCUUCCGGAAGGACAAGCAGCCCCAGGGCCGCCCACCGGAAGAUACCCCCGAGGCGUCAACUCAGCGCGGCGCCAAGAAGAAGGGCAAGAAGAAGUCGCAAGCGAAACGCGAUGCCGCCGACGCGGACCUUGUCGCCGCCGCCGAGUACAAGAACCCUCGGAAACCCCCCGGAGGUGCCAACCUCUUCGACAAGAUGCUCAAGGAGCCGUGCCGCUAUCACCAGGGGCCCGUCAAGCACACCCUCGAGGAAUGCGCCAUGCUUCGGCGCCACUUCCACAGGGCCGGGCCACCCGCAGAGGGUGGCAGGGCUCGCGACGACGACAAGAAGGAAGAUCACCAGGCAGGAGAGUUCCCCGAGGUCCGCGACUGCUUCAUGAUCUACGAUGGGCAAGCGGCGAACGCCUCGGCUCGGCACCGCAAGCAAGAGCGCCGGGAGGUCUAUUCGGUGAAGGUGGCGGCGCCAGUCUACCUAGACUGGUCUGACAAGCCCAUCACCUUCGACCAAGCCGACCACCCCGACCACGUGCCAAGCCCGGGGAAAUACCCGCUCGUUGUCGACCCCGUCAUCGGCGACGUCAGGCUCACCAAGGUCCUCAUGGACGGAGGCAGCAGCCUCAACAUCAUCUACGCCGAGACCCUCGGGCUCCUGCGUGUCGAUCUGUCCUCGGUCCGGGCAGGCGCUGCGCCUUUCCAUGGGAUCAUCCCCGGGAAGCGCGUCCAACCCCUCGGACAACUCGACCUUCCCGUCUGCUUCGGAACGCCCUGCAACUUCCGAAGGGAGACCCUGACGUUCGAGGUGGUCGGGUUCCGAGGAACCUACCACGCGGUACUGGGAAGGCCAUGCUACGCGAAGUUCAUGGCCGUCCCCAACUACACCUACCUCAAGCUCAAGAUGCCAGGCCCCAACGGGGUCAUCACCGUCGGCCCCACGUACAAACACGCGUUCGAAUGCGACGUGGAGUACGCCGAGGCCCUCGCCGAGUCUGAGGCCCUCAUCGCCGACCUGGAGAGCCUCUCUAAGGAGGUGCCAGACGUGAAGCGUCAUGCCGGCUACUUCGAGCCAGCGGAGACGGUUAAGUCCGUCCCCCUCGACCCCAGCAGCGACGCCUCCAAGCAAGUCCGGAUCGGCACCGAGCUCGGUCCCAAAUAGGAAGCAGUGCUCGUCCACUUUCUCCGCGUGAACGCCGACGUCUUCGCGUGGAGUCCCUCGGACAUGCCCGGCAUACCGAGGGAUGUCGCCGAGCACUCGCUGGACAUCAGAGCCGGAGCCCGACCCAUCAAGCAGCAUCUGCGCCGAUUCGACAAAGAAAAGCGCAGGGCCAUAGGCGAGGAGAUCCACAAGCUAAUGGCGGCAGGGUUCAUCAAAGAGGUAUUCCAUCCCGAAUGGCUUGCCAACCCUGUGCUUGUGAGAAAGAAAGGAGGGAAAUGGCGGAUGUGUGUAGACUACACUGGUCUAAACAAAGCAUGUCCGAAGGUUCCCUACCCUCUGCCUCGCAUCGAUCAAAUCGUGGAUUCCACUGCUGGGUGCGAAACCGUGUCUUUCCUCGAUGCCUACUCAGGGUAUCACCAAAUCAGGAUGAAAGAGUCCGACCAGCUCGCGACUUCUUUCAUCACACCCUUCGGCAUGUACUGCUAUGUCACCAUGCCGUUCGGCUUGAGGAAUGCGGGUGCGACGUACCAGCGGUGCAUGAACCAUGUGUUCGGCGAACACAUUGGCCGGACGGUCGAGGCCUACAUCGAUGACAUCGUAGUCAAGACGAGGAAAGCCUCCGACCUCCUUUCCGACCUUGAAGUGACAUUUCGAUGUCUCAAGACAAAAGGCGUGAAGCUCAAUCCCGAAAAGUGUGUCUUCGGGGUACCCCGAGGCAUGCUCUUGGGGUUCAUCGUCUCCGAGCGGGGCAUCGAAGCCAACCCGGAGAAGAUCGCAACCAUCACAAGCAUGGGGCCCAUCAAGGACUUAAAAGGCGUACAGAGAGUCAUGGGAUGUCUCGCGGCUCUGAGCCGCUUCAUCUCACGCCUCGGCGAAAGAGGUCUGCCUCUAUACCGCCUCCUAAGGAAGGCCGAGUGCUUCACUUGGACCCCUGAGGCCGAGGAAGCCCUCGGGAACCUGAAGGCGCUCCUCACGAAUGCGCCUAUCUUGGUGCCCCCAGCUGCCGGAGAAGCCCUCUUGAUCUACAUCGCCGCGACCACUCAGGUGGUUAGCGUCGCGAUUGUGGUCGAGAGGCAAGAAGAGGGGCAUGCAUUGCCCGUUCAGAGGCCAGUCUACUUCAUCAGCGAGGUACUGUCCGAAACCAAGAUCCGCUACCCACAAGUUCAGAAGCUGCUGUACGCGGUGAUCCUGACGCGGCGGAAGCUGCAACACUACUUCGAGUCUCAUCCGGUAACUGUGGUGUUAUCCUUCCCCCUGGGGGAGAUCAUCCAGUGCCGAGAGGCCUCGGGUAGAAUUGCAAAGUGGGCGGUGGAAAUUAUGGGCGAAACAAUCUCGUUCGCCCCUCGGAAGGCCAUCAAGUCCCAGGUCUUGGCGGACUUCGUGGCUGAAUGGGUCGACACCCAGCUCCCAACAGCUCCGAUUCAACCGGAGCUCUGGACCAUGUUCUUCGAUGGGUCGCGGAUGAAGACAGGAGCCGGCGCAGGCCUACUCUUCAUCUCGCCCCUCGGGAAGCACCUACGCUACGUGCUACGCCUCCAUUUCCCAGCGUCCAACAAUGUGGCUGAGUACGAGGCUCUAGUCAACGGGUUGCGGAUCGCCAUCGAGUUAGGGGUCCGACGCCUCGACGCUCGCGGUGACUCGCAGCUCGUCAUCGACCAAGUCAUGAAGAACUCCCACUGUCGUGACCCGAAGAUGGAGGCCUACUGCGAUGAGGUUCGGCGCUUGGAAGACAAGUUCUACGGUCUCGAGCUCAACCACAUCGCCCGGCGCUACAACGAGACUGCGGACGAGCUGGCUAAAAUAGCCUCGGGGCGAACAACGGUUCCCCCGGACGUCUUCUCCCGAGACCUGCAUCAACCCUCCAUCAAGAUCGACGACCCUCGGCCCAGCCCGAGGUACUCUCGGCUCAGUCCGAGGCAUCUUCGGCACGGCCCGAGGCACCCUCAGCCCGGCCCGAGCCACCCUCGGUUCAGCCUGAGGCACCCUCGGCGCCCGAGGGUGAGGCACUGCGCGUCGAGGAGGAGCGAAGCGGGGUCACGCCUAAUCAAAACUGGCAGACCCUGUACCUGCAAUAUCUCCACCGAGGAGAGCUACCUCUCGACCGAGCCGAAGCUUGGCGGUUGGCGCGGCGCGCCAAGUCGUUCGUCUUGCUGGGAGAUGGGAAGGAGCUCUACCACCGCAGCCCCUCAGGCAUCCUCCAGCGAUGCAUCUCCAUCGCCGAAGGUCAGGAACUCCUACGAGAGAUACACUCGGGGGCUUGCGGCCAUCACGCAGCGCCUCGAGCCCUUGUCGUAAACGCUUUCCGGCAGGGUUUCUACUAGCCGACUGUAAGGAAAAUGGACCCCGGGCCUUUUGGCUAAUUGAGUUUUGGUGUUUGAUGAACAACACAUUCCGUGAACUAAUAAGUUUUCUAGUGUUUGUGUUUGUAGUUCACAGGAUGCGAAGAGAAUUGGACCAAGGCAAUGAGGAUGCAACACCUCAAAAGAAGACAUAAAAAGAUGCAUAGGAGUCCAAUACUCAAGAACAAAAGAAGCCCGAAGAAAUCAGUGAAGAAAUCCAAGAAGUGGGCUGUCAGCCAGCGCCUGGUGGCGCACCGGACAUUGAUGUCCGGUGUGCACCGGACUGUCCGGUGCGGCACCGAACAGUCUGCGCAGAGAGGCCACAGACAGGCGCUCUCUGGCUGUAGCACCGGACUGUCCGGUGUGCACCGGACUGUCCGGUGUGCCAACGGGCAGACGGCAACGGUCGGAUCCAACGGUCGACUGCUACAGGCGCCAACGGUCGGCUGACGUGGCGUGCACCGGACAUCUACUGUGCAGUGUCCGGUGGUGCACCGGACUGUCCGGUGCACCCGACGACAGAAAAGCUGCUGCUUUCUGUCCAACGGCUAGUUGGGGGUGUGGAGGCUAUAAAUACCACCCCAACCGGCCAUUCUCAUGUGUGGGAGCCCAAGCAACAUACCAAGGCAUAUUGUAGACAUUUCCAAGUGCUCAAACACCCAAGUGCUUAAUAGAAUCACUCGGUGAUUAGCGUAGGUGCUUUGUGAAGUGCUUAGGUUAGUUAGACCGCAUUAGCGCUUGCUCUAGGUGAACCCUAGUUAGUUGAGUGAGUUUAGACAAACCACACAACUCCUCGGCUCUUGCGCGGGCCAUUGUAAUUGUACCGAGUGGGGCGAGAGUCUUGCGAGACCGUGACAACCGUGUUUGUGUCACGGCCGCCACCGUGUACCGGAGGGAACGAGGCCCGCGGCGUUUCGGCCGGAAGCUCGAUAGUGGAGACGGCGGGGAGCGUCCGAGAGGAGUCGGAAGCGGAGCACCACUUGCGCGUGGAGAAGGCCCGUGGCUCUCUACGGAGUUACUCGACCGUGGUGCUUGGCCCUCGCGUGGGCUUCCCUUUGCGUAGGGGCACCAACGAGGAUUAGUCGGGACCUUGCAUGGUUCCGGAUACCUCGGUAAAAAUACCGGCGUCAUCCACGAGAGUUUGCUUCUCUACUUAGCUCUUUACAUUCCGCAUUUAUAUUAAGCAUUUAAGUUUCAAUCUUGUAGUCAUACUUAUUUAGUGUAGAUUGAAACUUAGCCUUUGCGGUAGAGAUAGCAACACUUAGACAAAACCUAGUUUGCACAUUCUAGUUUUGAUUAUUUGCAUAGGUUUUGCUCUAGGGAUUUAAUUGUGGCCUAGUUUAGUAAAAGUUUUAGAAGUCCUAAUUCACCCCCCCCCUCUUAGGCGUCACCCGUUUCCUACACCGACGAUGGUGGCCGACGCCACUAGAAUUGUUCGCACCUGCGAAGGGUGUCAGUUCUACGCAAGGCAGACCCACCUGCCUGCUCAGGCUCUACAGACCAUACCCAUCACCUGGCCUUUUGCUGUGUGGGGUCUGGACCUCGUUGGCCCCUUGCAGAAGGCACCCGGGGGCUACACGCACCUGUUGGUCGCCGUCGACAAAUUCUCCAAGUGGAUCGAGGUCCGACCCCUAAACAGCAUCAGGUCCGAACAGGCGGUGGCGUUCUUCACCAACAUCAUCCACCGUUUCGGGGUCCCGAACUCCAUCAUCACCGACAACGGCACCCAGUUCACCGGCAGAAAGUUCCUGGACUUCUGCGAGGAUCACCACAUCCGGGUGGACUGGGCCGCCGUGGCUCACCCAUGACGAAUGGGCAAGUAGAGCGUGCCAACGGCAUGAUCCUACAAGGACUCAAGCCUCGGAUCUACAACGACCUCAACAAGUUCGGCAAGCGAUGGAUGAAGGAACUCCCCUCGGUAGUCUGGAGCCUGAGGACAACGCCGAGCCGAGCCACGAGCUUCACGCCGUUCUUUCUAGUCUAUGGGGCCGAGGCCAUCUUGCCCAUAGACUUAGAAUACGGUUCCCCGAGGACGAAGGCCUACGCCGACCAAAGCAACCAAGCUAGUCGAGAAGACUCGCUGGACCAGCUGGAAGAGGCUCGGGACAAGGCCUUACUACACUCGGCGCGGUACCAGCAGUCCAUGCGACGCUACCACGCCCGAGGGGUCCGGUCCCGAGACCUCCAGGUGGGCGACCUGGUGCUUCGGCUGCGACAAGACGCCCAAGGGCGGCACAAGCUCACGCCCCCUGGGAGGGGUCGUUCGUCAUCGCCAAAGUUCUGAAGCCCGGAACAUACAAGCUGGCCAACAGUCAAGGCGAGGUCUACAGCAACGCUUGGAACAUCCAACAGCUACGUCGCUUCUACCCUUAAGAUGUUUUCAAGUUGUUCAUAUACCUCGCUCCCACGCAAAGUUUAGUCAUCAAGGAAGGGUCGGCUUGCCUCGGCAAAGCCCGACCCUCCCUCGGGGGCUAAAAGGGGGGGAACCCCCUCUGCGUCGAAUUUUUUCCUCGAAAAAAGAUCCUUUCUGCCAGAAUGUCUUUCGUGCUUUUCGACUACCUCGAAAGUGGAUCCUGAAAACGACGGAGUACACGUAAGCAGCCAAGGCUGACCGAGCCGAGGGACUCCUACGCCUCCGGGAUACGGAUACCUCACUCAUCACCUUCUGCGAUAAGUAACUCACGCUCGGAUAAGUGACUCCGUGGACCGAACAAGUCUUCACGUUCGAAAGCUUCUCUGCCGAAGCGGUUCUUCGGGCCUUCUCGACUGUGUCGGUGACAGAACCCCAUGGACGGGUAAGAGCACGCGUAAGCGGCAAGGCCGACCGAGCCGAGGGACUCCUACGCCUCCGGGAUACGGAUACCUCACUCAUCACCUUCCGUGAGAAGCAACUCUCGCUCGAACAAACAAUUCUGUUACCGACAAAAAAGUCCAGAUACUCGAAAUAAGAGGAAAAGUGACGCUGCUUUACGACACGGCGAGGGUGUGUUUGGGCCUCGGCGACCGCAGAAAACACACACUACAAGAUAAUCUGAUCCUGCAGGCUCGGAUCUUGACGGUUGAAGGGAGCAGCAGCACCCUCGGCGUCAACUACACCUUCGGCGAGGUCCGACCUGGCUUCGGACGGCGACGCGGUCCGAGGAUCUCCACUCUGAAGGACGACUUCAUCACCACGCCCGGGCCAUCGCCGCCAGGGUCUUCUCCGAGAAUCUGGCCCGAGCAAGCGGCUCGGCUGGUCACCCCGAGGCCUCGGCUAGCUGUCCCCCGAAGACAUCAGCCCGACCCGAGGCCUCGGCAGAUCAACUCCGGCGUCGGUCCUGCUAACGGACGACCCGGCCAGGCUCCGGCCGACCAAGUCUUCUUUUCGAGCCAACUCUGCCUCUGCCUGUGCUGACGCCGCUACCCCUGGCCUCGGCUCAUCGAAGAGCGGCCGAGGGGUUCCUUUAACUGAGCAAGAGAAGCCUCGGACAGCAAGGCCGACCGAGCCGAGGGACUCCUACGCCUCCGGGAUACGGAUACCUCACUCGUCACCUUCACACGGGGCGACUCACGCUUGGUGAAGCAGUUCAGACAACCAACAGGCGAGUCUUAGUGCUCGAAAAUGAGGCAAAACACGGCUCCGUGCCAAAAAUACAUACAUGUUCAGGCCCCGACAGCCACUAUGAACAUAAGACUGGCAUUCAAAGUGCCAUUACAAACGGAACUCCGGUUCCGUCCCCACGGGUAUGAACAACCUCCACACCGGGGAGCCUGCGGGGCGACGAGUUCUGGGUGACUCGCCAGCGACCUCUGUAGCAGCAGCCAUGGUCCCAGAACGGACACGGCCGCCGGAAGGCUCUCGUUCGCGUUCCCGCUCAAGGGACGCGAACCAGCCAUCAAAGCCAAAGAGCGGGCCGCUCCGAAGUGCACCGGCAGGUCCUCGUUCCCGUCCUCGCCACGAAAGCGAGGAAGAGGGCGGAAUGUUGCAUCCUAGCUGGGCAGCAACAGUUCGCCUUCCCCGGCAUGGCUGGAGGACGCCUCCUCCGUAGAGCUGGAGGAUGGUUGCCACCACCAGAAGCUGGAAGAAGAGGUGGCCAGCUGGCCCGCGCGGGAGGUAGAGCCCCGGCUCGCCUCGCUCUCCGCCCCAGCAAGGAUGAUGAACAUCCUUGAAGCUGAGGGAGGGACCAAGAUCACAGCCCGGCUUGCCUCUCCCCAUCCAGGGGCUGGAGGUCAUCGCCUUGGGUGACCGCCGGCGGAGGGGUGCAGCCGGGCUGCAUGAUGAAAAUCCUUGAAGCCGAACGAUGGCUGAAAGGUACCAACUCCCACGGUGUUGCGUUCCCCCCAACGACAAGGCGAAAGGACUGCGGGCAUCCCCCAUCCGGGGGCUCGGAAGGUGGAAAGACACGAUGCAUAAGGGAGCACGAAGACAUGGUCGCCUUUCAAGGGGGUCACCCUCCUUUUAAAGGCGACUCUCCCUACUUGCGUCCCCAGCCGUCGCGGGCCGAGUCUUCUCCAACACGCUCCAAGGUCCUCCCCUACAGCGCGGGAGCUGGGUCCCACACGUCAUGCAAGCUGGCCCAGAGCAGAAGAAGCCAAACCGCCGCGCGUGGUGCAUGCAACCGCCCAGCGGUUACAAGCGGCCCUCCACUUUUGCCCAGACCAACGGGCGAAAGGGCGGGCAGCCAUGCAGGCGGCAUGCAAACCGCGCCAAGUGGGCGCACUUCUCCGACUUCCAACACGCCCAGCAUGGAGGCCCAGGCCCACGCGUCAUGCAACCGGUGCGCCGGAUGCUGCGUGCGAGCAACUGCACCGCCACCAGCGCCACUGCCACGCCUCCUCGACUGCGGCACCAGUACCGCGACUCGAGGCAACAGUACGCACGACCCAGCAAUGCCAGCCUGGCGCGACGGUCAAUGCGACCAAAAAUGGGCCGGCAGUAAUGGCGGUGGCAGGCGGGCAGGAGCAGCGGUCACGUCGUCAGCCAAGCUUACGUCCCAUCCGGGGGCAGCGAGAGAACCCUCUCUCACGGCGUGAAGACGACGCGCCCGUGUUCCGUUCCUCGAACGGCCCGCGCACGCGCAACGGCCGCCCCGCGAACCACUCGCCCCGUCGCAUUAACUCAGCGGCGGGAUAGGCGGCGCCUCUGGCAGAAGAAGCGAGCGAUGCUUCACCUUCGCCAUAAUGACCGCGUCAAAAAAGGUACGCCAUGUCAUUCGAUUUCGUAUCCUUUUCCUUUUCCUCUUUCUCUCUCUUACAAUAGGGACCGGGAAAGGGGGAUACCCCGAAAAGGACCCUUCUCCGUGAAGGAACCAGGCUCCGAGCCUUCCUACUGAUCAGAGGUUCAAAGGCUGGCCCGUCGGAGGGGUUCAACAGCCGCCUCAGAGCACGUGGGCUCCACACCCACUACUGGUCAGAGGUUCGAAGGCCGGCCCCUCGGAAGGGUUCAACGGCUGCCUCAGGCCACUCGGGCUCCACGCCCACUACUGAUCAGGGGUUCGUAGUCUGGCCCUCGAAGGGUUCACAGUCGCCUCAGACACAGAGCGAGGGAUGACCAUGGGUACGUUCGAUACAUAACCAAGGCUCGGGCUGCGCUCCCGAGGUAUCCUAGGACAUUUCCGAGACCAGCGGGAACGAUCUUGUAACGGAAUCCCAUCAGAGGGAGGCAUCGAGCCCUCGGACCCCGUCGACAGGGGACCGGGUCUGGCAGAUCACCCGCAGGUACUUUUGGGCGCGCCUCUGGGCCUCUAGCCGACCCCUAGCAAAUGGGGCACGGACGUCCGCUCGGAUUACCCGCCAGCAGCUCAUCGGAGACACCAUGUUCGGCGCCCACCGAGGGCAACAUGGCGCUUUCCCCCCCUCCUCCUUGCGGAAAGGCGACACAGGGGCGUAUGUAAAGAAGUCGAGUCUGUCCCUGACCGUCCUCUCGCCCUGUGCAGAGGCUCGGGGGCUGCUCUCGCAAACCCGGCUCCGGCCAAACCGUUGACAGCGUCAACAUACCAGCCCGAGAACUUGGAACCCGACCGUGCACCCGGGCUACGACCAGCUCGCAUGAGGGAACGACCAGACUAGCCGAAGCAUUAUGCGAGGCAUUAAGACCUCGGAGGAGUCAAACCACUCCUCCGAGGCCUCGGGGGCUACACCCGGCGGGUGCGCUCGCACGCACCCACCGGAACAAAAUGCAACCGAGAAAGGCUGGUCCCCUUGCAAAAAAGUGCGACAAAAGCCUCCAAGCGAGUGCUAACACUCCCUUCGAGGCUCGGGGGCUACUGUCGGGGACCAUAAUUAGGGGUACCCUCAAGGCUCCUAAUUCUCAACUGGUAACCCCCAUCAGCACAAAGCUGCAAAGGCCUGAUGCGUGCGAUUAAGUCAGGGAUCGGUCCGUUCGAGGGACUCGAUCACGCCUCGCCCGAGCCUAGCCUCGGGCAAGGGCAGCCGACCUCGGAGGAUCUCCGUCUCGCCCGAGGCCCCCCUCCAGCGACGAACACACUUCCGGCUUGCCCGAGGCUCUGUCUUCGCCAAGAAGCAACCCUGACCAAAUCGCCGCGCCGACCGACCGAAUCGCAGGAGCAUUUAAUGCAAAGGUGGCCUGACACCUUUAUCCUGACGCGCGCCCUUCAGUCGACAGAGCCGAAGUGACCACAGUCACUUCGCCGCUCCACUGACCGACCUGACAGAAGGACAGCGCCGCCUGCGCCACACCGACUGCAGUGCCACCUGACAGAGUGAGGCUGACAGGCAGUCAGGCCUGACCUCAGGCGCCAUAGGAAGCUCCGCUUCGCCGGACCCAGGGCUCGGACUCGGGCUCAGCCCCUGAAGACGGCGAACUCCGCUCCGCCCGACCCAGGGCUCGGACUCGGGCUAAGCCUUGGAAGACGGCGAACUCCGCUCCACCCGACCCAGGGCUCAGACUUGGGCUAAGCCCCGGAAGACGGCGAACUCUGCUCCGCCCGACCCAGGGCUCGGACUUGGGCUAAGCCCCGAAAGACGGCGAACUCCGCUCCGCCCGACCCAAGGCUCGGACUCGGGCUAAGCCCCUGAAGACGACGAACUCCGCUCCGCCCGACCCAGGGCUCGGACUUAGGCUCAGCCCCAGAAGAUGACGAACUCCGCUUUGCCCGACCCCAGGGCUCGGACUCAGCCCUGGCCUCAGCCGACGGUCUCCGCCUCGCCCGACCCAGAGGCUCGGACUCGACCACGGCCACGGAAGAAAGACUCGACCUCGACCUCGGAGGAGCCUCCACAUCGCCCAACCUCGGGCGCGAGCCAGCCACGUCAAUAGGAGGCGCCAUCAUUACCCUACCUCAAGCUGACUCAGGCUACGGGGAACGAGACCGGCGUCCCAUCUGGCUCGCUCCGCCAGAUAGGCAAUGAUGGCGCCCCGCACGCUCCCUGACGACGGCAGCUCUCCGCCCCCUUACGGAAGCAAGAGGACGUCAGCAAGGACUCGACAGCCCCGACAGCUGUCCCUCCGCCAGGCUCCAGCGCUCCUCCGACGGCCACGACAUCACACGAACCGGGCGCCAAAACCUCUCCGGCCGCCACGAUGGCGUGUACUUAGGGCGCUAGCUCUCCUCCGCUAGACACGUAGCACUCUACUGCACCCCCAUUGUACACCUGGAUCCUCUCCUUACGCCUAUAAAAGGAAGGACCAGGGCCCUCUUAGAGAGGGUUGGCCGCGCGGGGACGAGGACGAGACAAGCGCUCGCGUAAGGCCGCUCGCUCCCUCACCCGCGUGGACGCUUGUAACCCCCUACUGCAAGCGCACCCGACCUGGGCGCGGGACGAACACGAAGGCCGCGGGAUUUCCACCUCUCUCACGCCCGUCUCCGGCCACCUUUCUCCCCCCUUCGCGCUCGGCCUCGCGCCGACCCAUCUGGGCUGGGGCACACGGCGACAUUCACUCGUCGGCCCAGGGACCCCCCCGGUCUCGAAACGCCGACAAUCACCUAGGGUAACCCAUUUAAUUUGACCUCUUUGUUUCCAAUAAGUUGCUGUUUAGACAAAAGAUCAUGCAGAUGGAGGAUAAGAAUUUCUUUGAAAUUCCAUUCCUGUAUAAUUAAGUCUCUACUCUCCUCAAUGAAGUCCAGUAGCUGAAUAACCAAUUUAACCUUAUCAAUCAAUUUUGCUAAAUUAGGGAGAGACUUAUACCAACCCUGAAUCGCUUUUCGUGCUCUUUUAAACUUGGCCAUGAGCCUUUUAGCUGGGUCUGGUUGAAAUAGAGACUGACUCCAAGAAUCUUGGAAAAUUGAAUGAAAAUCUUCAAGCUGAAGCCAAUAAUUUUUGAAUCUAAAGAUGGGCGGUUUGGGAACAUUAAUUUGGACAUUGACCAUCCAAGGAAUGUGAUCUGAGGUUCCUCUAGUGAGCGAAAGUGCAGAAGUGGCCGGGAAGUUGACAGACCAUGCCUGCGAAACAAAACACCAAUCCAACUUUUCGAGUAAAGGAUGACGUUGCAUAUUUGACCAAGUGUAAGCUUGUCCUUUGAGAGGAAUUUCUUGAAGCCCCAACUGACUGAUUACCAAGUUGAAAUUCAUCAUUCUGAGAUGGUCACCUCCAGGUUUAUUGCGGUUUUCUGGAGAUCUGAUCAUAUUAAAGUCGCCAAGGAAGAUCCAUAGUUUGUCAUCAUUAAUCUCAAGACUGGAGAACCAAGAGAGAAAUUCCUCUCUUCUAUGAGGGGUACAUGGGGUGUAAAUGUUGGUGAGCCAUCAGGCUUGAUUUGUCAACUUUGUACAGAAAGAAGUCGUGUGACCGAAAGAAUUUUGAUCAAUCACCUCAGCAUCAAAGUGAGAGCCUUUCCAGAUUGUUAAGAAGCCCCCAGAUGCGCCAAUAGAAGGUCCGAAAGCGAACUUGUCAAAGGAUCUAUUGCAGAAGCGAUGGAUGUAGGAGUCAUCGAAGGACUCUUUCUUUGUCUCUUGGAUACAAUUGAUGUCACAAUUGAUUUCCAUAAUGUUAUUGCGCAAGGAGUUCCAUUUGAUAUCAGAGUUAAUUCCUCUAAUAUUAUGUGACAAAAUUUUCAAGCUGCGGUGUAAAUUCUGAGGGGAGAAAGUCAUGGAUGAACAAUAAUCUUUGCACUAAGAAAUCCCGGUAUGCAUAGCAUACACCAAUAGUUCUUCAUAAAUAAGUUUGUCCAUAAACAGAAAUAUCCAGAAAACCAAUAUAUAAGCAUGAAGUGGGGGACUUAAAUCUUCAAAGGGGCCAAACUAGAAGUUUCCAAAAGGAGCAAAGAUAACAAAUAACAAAAAUUCCAAACACCAUAAUUAUCCAUGCCGAGAACCAAAGAGUCAUCGACUCUUUCAGAGUUUGUUACGGCAAACAAAAAUAGCGCCACAUGCGCACCAUCACCAACAUUUAUCAUGUUGCUAUACAUGGAAAACCACCAAAAGAUCCACCAACCGGGGCACAGAAAACACUGUAAGGCCCAAAAAGGGGAGGCAAAAGCCUUACAACCCCGCAGGGGCACUAGAUCCCGCAUCAUCGUCAUCAUCAUAGAGGGAGUCCUCCGCCUGGUCUUCAGAAGUCCUGGGCUCAUCGUCCUUGCUGCUAGGAGGAGCAUCUGGCCUCUGAAUAGCAAUACCAGUGGCCCUGGCUCUGCUCAAGUCAUUAGGAUUAAGUUUAGAUGGGUCCACGUUACAAAAUUCAACUCCCAACUUCUUGAUGAUAUCGUGCUGAAUGGAGGGUGGAGCGCAUUGCGCGCAGCAUGAACAUUCCUUUUUACCAAUCCCGGUGCAGGUUUUAAAUCCCUUGGCAUUUUCCCGAAGCAUGGCACUCCUCCUAACUGCAGUGUCGACAAUGAUAGGCUGCCUUUUCCUGAGAGCUGCUUUUGCCAGAGAUGGGGACUGUGGCUCGACAUGGGAGUCCUGACUGGUAGGGGGCAGACACUUGGAGGGAAUCUUGAUUGAAAUGGUGUCCAUGCUAGGCUCGACGAAGGCAGAGAUAGCUCCUGACAACAGAAAUUUCCUGGCCCAGUCAAAGGAAUCCGACCUCAUUAGUAGGCCCAUGAAGAAAGCAGCUCAGACUUUUGGAACAGGAACAAAGCCAACAUUGUCAGGGAAUAAAUCAGCCCAAGAAGAAAAACGCUUUCUGGCCAUAUAGUCUUCAAAAGAAGGAUCAGGGGUGGACUGCUCCAAAUGCUGCAUGAGGCCCACAUUGAUGUUAUCCUCAAUUUGCAUGUCUUCUUCUCCCUGGUCGUUAUUUCCCUCCAAAAUCAUCUCUUCGUGAGGGAAUGCUGGCAAGGCGAGAACUGCUUCAGCCGGCACCGGGGCUUGCUCCUGAUGGAACUGGACUCCCUGAGGGAUAAUGAUAUCGUUAAAGUAGCCCACCGAUUCAUAAGAAGGAAGGUCCUCAAGACCCGACAACUGAUAACUGAACUGCUCUUCUGCAUUGUUUGCAAUGUUUGCAUUGUUCGCAUUGGCCACUGGCUCAGGGGGCUGAGCCUGUUGAACUGGCCAAGGGUCCCAACCUUCAUCAUCAUUGUUGGCAAUGUCUUCUUCUACAUUGUUCCCUUCCAUGGGGGAUAUUGAGAUCGAACUGAAAAUUGGCCACCGGCUAACCCAUUCCAAAAAACUCUACUGGAAGCUGGUGACCAUCAUGUGGGUAAAGUGGCACGGGGUCCUCAUCUUGAGGUUGUGCACCAAGCAUAAAUUGUUGCACGAUAUCACAUUGGACUAUCCAAGAAACUCCCUGGAAACCUUCAGCCACCGAGAACACGAUGAAUUGGGGGUACUUCCUAUAAGGAUGUCACUCGUGCCUGGACCAACAACCUAGUUGCAUUAUUUGGGUCAGGGUCCCACAUGAGAACCCUCCCAAAGGCUCCGACCGCAUUUUGGAUGUGUUCGUGGGUCCAGAAGUCCAGAGGAAAACCAAGAAGAAGGAGCCAGCAUUCAUGGUUAAAGGUUAGGGCACGCUGGUUCAAGCCCUCAUUGUGUCAAAUGACAGUAAAAGAAAAGCCCAGGGCUUGCUACGGACCCAUUGCCACUAAGUUGUCCCUGUCAAACGCGAACCUGAAUCGCACAAGUGCAUGUCCCAAAUGGGAUCGUUGAAUGCUCCUGACUUGAACACGCCGGACCCCCACAAGAUAUCAUCAAAGAUGUGGAAAUUAACGUCAUGCUUCGGCAAAGGUUGAACAAGCACAAUGCCCCAAUCUUCAUGUGCGGAGGGUUGAGGUCGAGUCACAGUAUGUACCAUGAUUUCACGAUGAUCGACCUGCUGCGCCACAAAGCAAUGGGGGAGGAACGGCGUAGGAUCAACUCUAUGAAAAGCCAUUUCUUCAGCGGUUCUGAGAGUAGCAAAUAGCGAAGGCGGCGGAAGCACCACACUCAGCGGAGAGAUUGAAAUCGGCGGACUCUUCCAUGGCAGCAGAGAGGGAUGGGGUUUUGUGAACAGUGCAAGUUUCAUGGAAGGCGAAGAGUCGCUACUCGAAAGAACCGCCUGAGUGAACUCACCGAAAUUGUUAUAAAAGGGCGGAGAAGGAGGCCCACCUGUAAGCGAUAGCAGAGGGGGCCUGAACCAUGAUCGCGGGGGAUACACCCAUGAGGCAUUCUCGAACUUAUUGGGGAAAGAGCCAAAAGAACGUUUGCACUUCUGCCCUGAAAGACCAAAUAUUUGUGAAUUUUUGCCUGAGAGAGAAAGGUCACAAAUAUGACAGUGGUCCAUCGCCGCUGGGUCGGCAGAGCCAUUAAGUCUGGGGACAGAAUCCUGUCCAAAAUUCCCCGGGCACUGUUCCAAAAUCUUCUUGGGCUGCCAAAUCAACUUCCGCGGGGCCCAAGGGAGAACGCGAGAGGCCCUUAAUGAUGGCCGAAAUCUGGAGCUAGCGAUGCGGCCGAAGCUGGAGUUUGAAUAUUUUUGAAAUUGCGAACGAUCAGCACAUCCUUGAACAAUGGCGGAGCGUGGAGGGAAGGAAAUGAAAGGGAAAUGUGCCCUUGGGCCAUUUCCAAAGUAUUUUGGUGAUUGAGUGCCAACACAAGUGGUCAUGUGUUAAUCUAUGCCAAAUGAUGGACAAAGUGAAAACCAACAUAAAGGUAUGUUUCUAAGUCUUAGUACUUUGUUUUAAAGACUAAUGUAUUGUGUCUAAGUACUAAAAACAGGAGAAAUCAAUUUGGAAAAGUGAUGGCUUUGUUCAGCCAAAGACAAUUCAGUCUGGGAGCACCGGACUGUCCGGUGGUGCACCGGACAGUGUCCGGUGCGCCAGGCUGGCUCUGGUGAAAAGGCCGCUCUCGGGAAUUCGUCGGCGGCGUACGGCUAAAAUUCACCGGAUCGUCUGGUGUGCACCGGACUGUCCGGUGAGCCAACGGUCGGCCGCGCAAUCCGCGCGUGACGCGUGGCCGGGCCAACGGUCUGAAGGGGGCACUGGACUGUCCGGUGUGCACCGGACGGUGUCCGGUGCGCCAACGGCUCCAAAUCGCCAACGGUCGGCUGCACCAAAAUAGGAAAGAAAUCCGCACCGGACAGUGUCUGGUGGUGCACCGGACUGUCCGGUGCGCCAGUCGACAGAAGGCAAGAAUUGCCUUCCUGGAAUGUUCUCAACGGCUCCUAGCUGCCUUGGGGCUAUAAAAGGGACCCCUAGGCGCAUGGAGGAGUACACCAAGCAUCCUUUGAGCAUUCCUAAGCACCAAGACCUCAUUUUCGCGCAUUCGAUUCUUUGUGAUAGCAACUAGAGCUCAAUUUGAGUAGAGAACUCUUUGAGUUGUGUUGAGAGCUCAAGUUGUGACUUGUGUGCGUAUUUGUGCUCUGAUUUUGUGUCUUAUGUGUGUUUCUCAUCCCAUCCUUACUUCCGUGCUUCUUUGUGAACAUCAAAUUGUAAAGGCGAGAGGCUCCAAGUUGUGGAGAUUCCUCACAAACGGGAUAUAGUAAAACAAAGCAAAACACCGUGGUAUUCAAGUGGGUCUUUGGACCGCUUGAGAGGGGUUGAGUGCAACCCUUGUCCGUUGGGACGCCACAACGUGGAGUAGGCAAGUGUUGGACUUGGCCGAACCACGGGAUAAACCACUGUGCCUCUCUGUGUUGAUCUCCUUGUGGUUAUUGUGUUUUGCAAGAACUCCUCUCUAGCCACUUGGCUUUAUUGUGCUAACUCCUAAUCAAGUUUUGUGGCAUUAAGUUUUAAUUUGUUUACAGGAUCACAUAUUCACCCCCCUCUAGGUGCUCUCAAUUGGUAUCGGAGCAGUUCUCUUCAAGAAAGGGACUAAUCGCCCGAAGGGAUGGAUCCUAAGGGAAAGGGGAUAGUGAUCAAUGACAAGGAGAAGGAGUCCUUCAUCAAUGAGCCGAAAGACGACAAGCCCACUGACUCGGGCUCAAGUCAUAAGAAGAAGGACGGGAAGAAGAAGAGGCGCAUCAAGAAGAUCGUCUAUUACGACGACAGCGACGAGUCGUCUUCUUCCCAAAAGGACAACGACGACAACGACUACGAGAAAAAGAAGAUGGUUAACUCGAACUUUUCUUUUGAUUACUCUCGUAUUCCGCAAAAUUCCAAUGCUCAUUUGCUUUCCAUUCCCCUCGGUAAACCCCCUUUGGAGUCACAAAAUGCGUAGCCACUUGUUCUCUCUCCAUCCAAGUAUAUGGGAGAUAGUAGAAAAUGGAAUGCACUUUGAUAGUACAGAUAGUCCCAUGUUCAUCAAUGAACAAAUUCAUAAAAUGCACAAGCUACUACUGUGUUGUUAGCCUCAUUGUGCAGUGAUGAGUACCAUAAGGUGAGCGGCUUGGACAACGCCAAGCGGAUUUGGGACACCCUCAAGAUCUCACACGAGGGGAACGACGUCACCAUGCUCACCAAGAUGGAGUUGGUGGAAGGCGAACUAGGAAGGUUCGCAAUGAUCAGGGGGAGGAGCCAACCCAAACAUACAACAGGCUCAAGACCCUUGUCAACAAAAUAAGGAGCUAUGGAAGCACGCGAUGGACGGACCACGACGUCGUCCGCCUAAUGCUAAGGUCUUUCACUGUCCUUGAUCCACAUCUUGUAAACAAUAUUCGUGAAAAUCCUAGGUACACCAAGAUGUCGCCCGAAGAAAUACUUGGAAAGUUUGUAAGCGAGCUGUAACACCCGAAAUCUUGUUUUGGUGAUUAGUAGAAGAAAUCAAAGUAAAAUAUCACUAAUGGAUAAUUAUACUUUGGAAUUCGCCCUUUCUAAAAUAAAUAGUAAAAUUUAAAGCAAUGAGAGUUAAUAUACAUAUAUAUAAUAAAAGAGUUACAAUUUAUUAUCCCCUUCAAGAAAUAUAUGUACUAUUCUCUUUUGAGUUAAAGUCACUUUUGUUAAAGAAUACAUAUUAAAUUCUUUCUAAAUUAAAAGGGUAAGGCAUAUGGAAUUAUCGGAGAUACUUUUAAUUAGAUAUACAUUCAAUAUAAUGACUUCUUUGGAAUAAGUGGAUGUGAAGCAUCUUAUCUAAAUAAAUAAAAUAAAUCUUUGCAUCAUUCUGGGACUAUUUUGGUUGUUUCAUAUAAACUGGACUUUGAAAUUCAAAACAUUUAAAUUUAAAAUAGUUAAAACAAAUAAAAAUUUAAAUUAGAAAAGGAAAAAGGACAAGGAAACCUGCGCCUGGGCCAAAUAUCACCUGUCUCGGCCCAUCUCUUCUCUUCCCCCUCAAACGCGCGCGCGGCUCGCCAACGGAAACACCCGUGCGUACCAGCUUCACCACCGCGUGGACCCCGCUGGUCGGCCUCACUCCUAGCGCGGGCUCCUGGACAGGUGGGGACCAUAGUCCAGGUUCUCUCUCCCACGGUGCUCCACUUGCGCGUGGGGCCCACUGGCCAGAUCGGUCUCCUCCAUCUAGUUCACGGACGCGAUUUGCCUUCUUAACUGAACUCCGAUGCGCACGUCGCCUCAACCACCGAGCUCCUCGGCGUGAAUUUCUCUCCCACUCCCCCAUAAAAGCAGUCGGGCCUUCCCUCGUCCAUCCGCACCGCGAGCACCAACACCUCUACUUGUGUUACCGGGACCGAGCAAGAUGAUGGCGGGGGUGUGUCCGGAAUCGCGGCCAAGGCCGAUUCGGACCUACGCGGGCACCAACCUUUAGGUAGAUGUCAUGGAGGAUCGUCCGACCCCCGCGUGGAGAUUAUGUGGAGUCUCUGCACGAUUUGUUGCAUGGUGGGACUCCGAUUCCUCGUCAGAACUGAUGGGUGGCCGCGGAUCUGCGCCUGCCCGUGGGUGGGAGCCAGCGUCGCAUAAAUCGAGGUGAGAACCCUCCCUAUGGAUAUGCCUUCAUCUCUAGUGCAUGUAUUAGUUUCCGUAGGAGAGGUCAUGUGCAAGGUCGUGAAUCCGGUGGGUCGUGGCAAUGGCUGCCGCCGUGGGAGGAAACUCAGCCGCUGUACACUUAUGUCUGGAGAUUGAAGAACGGGUGUCACCGUAGAUCCUAGGAUUGAGGGCGUAGGAGAAGCGUGCGCAUGUGCCGUCGAUCGGCUGUAAGGUGGCCCAGAUUAGUUGGGCACAUACCCCUUCGCGGUUGUAGGUUCUGACCGUAGAUAAGCUAUCGGACGGUUUGGUGGUCACGUGGGAAUCUGAUCGAAGAUCUCCGAUCCAACGGCCACCAGGAGGCUCCAGUUCACCUAGCGGGGGUGUAAUCUGAACCGUUAGAUCUUGAUCGGGCGGCCCACGCUGGACGGUACCCCUUCGUCAUUUUAUGUCCGAGCCAUCGGAUUUUAAUCGUGUGGCUCUCGGUAGAUUGGAUCGUGGGCAUUCGUGGACCGUGGAUCUCUGAUCGUACGGUUGACGUUGCGUACCGGCUUAUAAAGCGCCCAGAUCUAAUCUGCACCAUAGGAUCUAAUCUGGGCGGUCCGCGUUCACCCGUACCCCUUCGGCCGCGUCAACUUACAAAAGAGCCCUUACACUUUCUAAAAAUCAACCCGCCAUCCACUCCAGCUAUUCAUCAAGUCUUAGAAUACUUGCGUCGUAGCCCCUGUACUUACCAGUAAUUGAGGCCUUGUCCAGACAGUGAGAAAAACUUAUAAAAUAAUUUAGAAAAGGGAUUUUGAAUGUGAAAACAAUUCCUAGAACUUGUAUAGUUCCUAGAAAAUUCAUAUGGAGCCCAAAUUAAUUCAUUCCAAUUCCUAGAAUUUUGUAAUAUUAUUGUUUAUCAAUUAGUACCACUGUUUUGUCAUGAAUGUCAAAUUGAAAAUUAAUAUCUUAUUUAAUCUUGUACAAAACACAUAGAAUCUUUAGAAAUUCAUAACUCCUCUGUUUUAACUCCGAUUUGAUCCGUUCAAGUUGCGUUAGUUUCGUAUAAAUAUUUACUAUGAAAUAAUAGCAUUUAUUAUACCAUGUCCCAUUCUUUUAUAAUUAGAUCUUUGUUAACUUAUGUUGGUUAGUCUCGUUAAACUACUUAUUAUUAAAAUCAUAACCCCUUACUAGUAACUCCGAUCAUAGUAGUUUUCGAUCUCACGAUCUCGUAGCGAUGCGUAGAUUAUUAUCAUACAGUUUGUUAUUAUGUUUGGUGUGAUAUUAAUUUUGUAUAUACCAUGGUUGUUUGUAUUGCUACGACUAGCAGUGAGGUUACGAGGAUCUGAAAGUUCAUCCUGUCACCUGGAUUCUCAAGUGCCAGGCAAGUUGUGCCCUUGAUCACUUCUUUUUACCCACUCAUGUUCUAAUUAAUCAUAAUGAUCUGCAUAGGUUAAUUUUGAUGGGACCCAACAGGUUACCUUAGUUUGAUUAUCUUUAUACCUUGUUUUACCACUCAAUAUUUCUGGGUAGUACUUGCUAGUGCUUUUAUGUGGUUUUAGGUAUGAAGAUACAUUAUUCAUGAUCACAUUUUUAUUAUCUGUUUAUUAUUAUUGUUCAUGAUAAGAUCAUUAUGUUAAUUGUAACAUGGAGCGACCACCCGGGAAAACAGUGCUACCACAAGGGUUUAAUGGGACGCCCUUGGCUGAUUAAUUAGGAAAGCUAGUGGAAGACUACCUUACCCGAAAGGGGCAAGGGCAGUAGGGGAGUGGUCAGUGUAGGGAGGUCCUUGGUUGAUUUUGCUGCGAUGGCGGUCAGGCAAGAACCCUGCAUUGGAGCUUCCUAUAAACUGUAGCGGGUUUUCUGAAGCUAGUGGAACUUUGUAAAGGCCUCAUAGUGUUACCCUGCCUCGCCUCCUCGGUAGAGGUGUAUGGGAAGUCGCGAUCCCUUGGCAGAUGGGUAACAUGACUUGUGGGUAAAGAUGCGCAACCUCUGCAGAGUGUAAAACUGGUAUACUAGCCGUGCUCACGGUCAUGAGCAGCUCGGACCCUCACAUGAUUAAAUUAUGGAACUUAAAUUCAAUUUGUCAUAUGCAUUGCAUCGCAGGUGAUGUUGUUACUUUUGUUCUACUACUUAAUUGGGUUGGUAUUUACUUAUACUUAGUAAUUGCUAAUAAAAUUUUGACCAACUUUAAAAGCAAUGCUCAGCUCUAACCAUCCUCUUUGGUAAGCCUUACACUUCACGUGAGCUCCCACCUUUGGCGAGUUCAUGCACAUUAUUCCCCACAACUUGUUGAGCGAUGAACGUAUGUGAGCUCACUCUUGCUGUCUCACACCCCCCCACAGGUCAAGAAUAGGUACCACAGGAUGAGGCGCAUGAAGGAUGCUGCGAUGAGUUCGUGAGAGAGAUCUAGGCCGUCGUCUCCCAGUCAACUUUGGGUUGCUGGACCGUUGUCUCCUUAUAAUAUAAUUAUUUAUUUUGUAUAGAAUUCCUGUUAUAUAGUAAAGAUGUGACAUUCGAUCAUGUGCCAUGAUUCAUCAUAUGUGUGAGACUUGGUCCCAGCACACCUGGUGAUUAUGUUCGCGCCCGGGUCUUGGUGCCCCGAAACCCGGGUGUGACAGAAGUGGUAUCAGAGGAAUGUUGACUGUAGGACGAAACCUAGAUAGAACUGGACAACCAAUAUCUACUUACCUUUGCUACUCUGAUUCUUUUCUAAACUUAUCUUAAUCUUUUCUCAUCUAUUUCCGCUUUACUCUGAUUAUUCUUACCUUUUCCUUCUAAAGACAAAUGUGGAUUUCACACUUUGAAAUCCUGUACCUAAAGUGACCUUUAAGAAUAGGAGACAUACUCUUAGGAACAAAAACAAAAAAAAACUAUUUUUAUAGUUAACUAUACGCUUGAGUGUUUGUUCUUAUGAUACUUGUUUGAUUUGGAUCUUUGAUUGAGUGUGAUGAGUUGUGGAGUAAUGUCCACAAUUACAUCUGCAUAUACAUAUAGGGAAAAAUACUUAUAAAAUAACUAGAUAAACUAGAUUAUCCCUCAUUAAAGUAUCUAGCCUAACAAUAUCCAUCUCAUCUUAAAAGAUUCUUUCCUACACUCAUAGAUCCAUCUUAUCUUAAAAGAUACUCAUCUUAUCUUGAAAAGAUUUUAUCUUAUUCUAAUAGAACUAACUGACCUCAAAAGAUUCUACCUUAUCCUUAUGGAUUCAUCUUGCCCUAAUUAGCAUAUUUAUCCCACUCUAGAAUAACAACCAUGAACUAAUCCAAAAAAAUUUAUUUAGAUCUUAACUAGUCUAAUCUAGUCAUAUCCAACCUAAUCUAGAUUCUAUCUAAUCUAUUAUGAUCUAAUCUAGAGUAAGUUACUUAAUGCUGGUACAAAGGAUAAGGCCAUACUCCAAAUUCACUUACGCCUAAAUUGGUGACUUAGAUCAACUUGGCCAUACACAACAACCUGACCUAUAUAACAAGUUACAUAACAACCCAACCAAUAGAGUAAUGAUGGAUUGCAUAAUCUAUCAACCCCCACCUAAAACAAACUGUUGACCCACAUCAUGUAAUCUAUCUCAUCCAAAUCUAUAUUCCCUGAAUCCGUUGAUAUACACUAACCUCGAAUCAAUGAGACCAAGUCCGGAGAAGAAAAGAUCAACCUCGUCAAGGAAGGAGAGAAGUCAAACUCAAUCUUUAGAUGCAUUACCACCCAACAUGGAGUUCUUUCUCACCAUAAACUUUCUUACCCCAAGCUAUUCUUGCCCUAACCUAUCCAUCUCUUAUAUCCUACCUAAUAAGUAGCUAGAUACCUAUCACCCAUUAAGGACUAUUAAAAAAGGGAAAUUCUUAAAUUUUUAACUAAUGGAAACUAAAAGCUAAUUUACACAUCAAUUUCUCUAUAUUCCUUUUUUAACUAAUCUCGAGGACGAGAUUAUUUUUAAGGGGGGUAGGAUUUGUAACACCCGAAAUCUUGUUUUGGUGAUUAGUAGAAGAAAUCAAAGUAAAAUAUCACUAAUGGAUAAUUAUACUUUGGAAUUCGCCCUUUCUAAAAUAAAUAGUAAAAUUUAAAGCAAUGAGAGUUAAUAUACAUAUAUAUAAUAAAAGAGUUACAAUUUAUUAUCCCCUUCAAGAAAUAUAUGUACUAUUCUCUUUUGAGUUAAAGUCACUUUUGUUAAAGAAUACAUAUUAAAUUCUUUCUAAAUUAAAAGGGUAAGACAUAUGGAAUUAUUGGAGAUACUUUUAAUUAGAUAUACAUUCAAUAUAAUGACUUCUCUGGAAUAAGUGGAUGUGAAGCAUCUUAUCUAAAUAAAUAAAAUAAAUCUUUGCAUCAUUCUGGGACUAUUUUGGUUGUUUCAUAUAAACUGGACUUUGAAAUUCAAAACAUUUAAAUUUAAAAUAGUUAAAACAAAUAAAAAUUUAAAUUAGAAAAGGAAAAAGGACAAGGAAACCUGCGCCUGGGCCAAAUAUCACCUGUCUCAGCCCAUCUCUUCUCUUCCCCCUCAAACGCGCGCGCGGCUCGCCAACGGAAACACCCGUGCGUACCAGCUUCACCACCGCGUGGACCCCGCUGGUCGGCCUCACUCCUGGCGCGGGCUCCUGGACAGGUGGGGACCAUAGUCCAGGUUCUCUCUCCCACGGUGCUGCGUUAGCCACUUGCGCGUGGGGCCCACUGGCCAGAUCGGUCUCCUCCAUCCAGUUCACGGGCGCGAUUUGCCUUCUUAACUGAACUCCGAUGCGCACGUCGCCUCAACCACUGAGCUCCUCGGCGUGAAUUUCUCUCCCACUCCCCCAUAAAAGCAGUCGGGCCUUCCCUCGUCCAUCCGCACCGCGAGCACCAACACCUCUACUUGUGUUACCGGGACCGAGCAAGAUGAUGGCGGGGGUGUGUCCGGAAUCGCGGCCAAGGCCGAUUCGGACCUACGCGGGCACCAACCUUUAGGUAGAUGUCAUGGAGGAUCGUCCGACCCCCGCGUGGAGAUUAUGUGGAGUCUCUGCGCGAUUUGUUGCAUGGUGGGACUCCGAUUCCUCGCCAGAACUGAUGGGUGGCCGCGGAUCUGCGCCUGCCCGUGGGUGGGAGCCAGCGUCGCAUAAAUCGAGGUGAGAACCCUCCCUAUGGAUAUGCCUUCAUCUCUAGUGCAUGUAUUAGUUUCCGUAGGAGAGGUCAUGUGCAAGGUCGUGAAUCCGGUGGGUCGCGGCAAUGGCUGCCGCCGUGGGAGGAAACUCAGCCGCUGUACACUUAUGUCUGGAGAUUGAAGAACGGGUGUCACCGUAGAUCCUAGGAUUGAGGGAGUAGGAGAAGCGUGCGCAUGUGCCGUCGAUCGGCUGUAAGGUGGCCCAGAUUAGUUGGGCACAUACCCCUUCGCGGUUGUAGGUUCUUACCGUAGAUAAGCUAUCGGACGGUUUGGUGGUCACGUGGGAAUCUGAUCGAAGAUCUCCGAUCCAACGGCCACCAGGAGGCUCCAGUUCACCUAGCGGGGGUGUAAUCUGAACCGUUAGAUCUUGAUCAGGCGGCCCACGCUGGACGGUACCCCUUCGUCAUUUUAGGUCCGAGCCAUCGGAUUUUAAUUGUGUGGCUCUCGGUAGAUUGGAUCGUGGGCAUUCGUGGACCGUGGAUCUCUGAUCGUACGGUUGACGUUGCGUACCGGCUUAUAAAGCGCCCAGAUCUAAUCUGCACCAUAGGAUCAAAUCUGGGCGGUCCGCGUUCACCCGUACCCCUUCGGCCGCGUCAACUUACAAAAGAGCCCUUACACUUUCUAAAAAUCAACCCGCCAUCCACUCCAGCUAUUCAUCGAGUCUUAGAAUACUUGCGUCGUAGCCCCUGUACUUACCAGUAAUUGAGGCCUUGUCCAGACUGUGAGAAAAACUUAUAAAAUAAUUUAGAAAAGGGAUUUUUAAUGUGAAAACAAUUCCUAGAACUUGUAUAGUUCCUAGAAAAUUCAUAUGGAGCCCAAAUUAAUUCAUUCCAAUUCCUAGAAUUUUGUAAUAUUAUUGUUUAUCAAUUAGUACCACUGUUUUGUCAUGAAUGUCAAAUUGAAAAUUAAUAUCUUAUUUAAUCUUGUACAAAACACAUAGAAUCUUUAGAAAUUCAUAACUCCUCUGUUUUAACUCCGAUUUGAUCCGUUCAAGUUGCGUUAGUUUCGUAUAAAUAUUUACUAUGAAAUAAUAGCAUUUAUUAUACCAUGUCCCAUUCUUUUAUAAUUAGAUCUUUGUUAACUUAUGUUGGUUAGUCUCUUUAAACUACUUAUUAUUAAAAUCAUAACCCCUUACUAGUAACUCCGAUCAUAGUAGUUUUCGAUCUCACGAUCUCGUAGCGAUGCGUAGAUUAUUAUCAUACAGUUUGUUAUUAUGUUUGGUGUGAUGUUAAUUUUGUAUAUACCAUGGUUGUUUGUAUUGCUACGACUAGCAGUGAGGUUACGAGGAUCUGAAAGUUCAUCCUGUCACCUGGAUUCUCAAGUGUCAGGCAAGUUGUGCCCUUGAUCACUUCUUUUUACCCACUCAUGUUCUAAUUAAUCAUAAUGAUCUGCAUAGGAUAAUUUUGAUGGGACCCAAUAGGUUACCCUAGUUUGAUUAUCUUUAUACCUUGUUUUACCACUCAAUAUUUCUGGGUAGUACUUGCUAGUGCUUUAUGUGGUUUUGGGUAUGAAGAUACAUUAUUCAUGAUCACAUUUUUAUUAUCUGUUUAUUAUUACUGUUUAUGAUAAGAUCAUUAUGUUAAUUGGAACAUGGAGCGACCACCCGGGAAAACAGUGCUACCACAAGGGUUUAAUGGGACGCCCUUGGCUGAUUAAUUAGGAAAGCUAGUGGAAGACUACCUUACCCGAAAGGGGCAAGGGCAGUAGGGGAGUGGUCAGUGUAGGGAGGUCCUUGGUUGAUUUUGCUGCGAUGGCGGUCAGGCAAGAACCCUGCAUUGGAGCUUCCUAUAAACUGUAGCGGGUUUUCUGAAGCUAGUGGAACUUUGUAAAGGCCUCGUAGUGUUACCCUGCCUCGCCUCCUCGGUAGAGGUGUAUGGGAAGUCGCGAUCCCUUGGCAGAUGGGUAACAUGACUUGUGGGUAAAGAUGCGCAACCUCUGCAGAGUGUAAAACUGGUAUACUAGCCGUGCUCACGGUCAUGAGCAGCUCGGACCCUCACAUGAUUAAAUUAUGGAACUUAAAUUCAAUUUGUCAUAUGCAUUGCAUCGCAGGUGAUGUUGUUACUUUUGUUCUACUACUUAAUUGGGUUGGUAUUUACUUAUACUUAGUAAUUGCUAAUAAAAUUUUGACCAACUUUAAAAGCAAUGCUCAGCUCUAACCAUCCUCUUUGGUAAGCCUUACACUUCACGUGAGCUCCCACCUUUGGCGAGUUCAUGCACAUUAUUCCCCACAACUUGUUGAGCGAUGAACGUAUGUGAGCUCACUCUUGCUGUCUCACACCCCCCCACAGGUCAAGAACAGGUACCACAGGAUGAGGCGCAUGAAGGAUGCUGCGAUGAGUUCGUGAGAGAGAUCUAGGCCAUCGUCUCCCAGUCAACUUUGGGUUGCUGGACCGUUGUCUCCUUAUAAUGUAAUUAUUUAUUUUGUAUAGAAUUCCUGUUAUAUAGUAAAGAUGUGACAUUCGAUCAUGUGCCAUGAUUCAUCAUAUGUGUGAGACUUGGUCCCAGCACACCUAGUGAUUAUGUUCGCGCCCGGGUCUUGGUGCCCCGAAACCCGGGUGUGACACGGGCGGAUGAUGAUCAAGGAGGCAAGAUACGUCGAUGAGGCAUUGAAUGGUCCAAUUCAUGAGCCUCAAUCCAUUGCUCUCAAGGCAACAAAUAGCAAGGAGACGCUAUCUAGCAAGGUGGCACAAGUUGAGGCGGGGGGGGGCUCAAUGAGGAAGAAAUGACACUCAUCAUCAAGCACUUCAAGACGGCGCUAAAGGGUCGCAAGGAGCAUCCCAAAAGGAGCAAGACGAAGGGAAAGCACUCCUGCUUCAAGUGUGGUAAGAUUGGUCACUUUAUUGCUAACUGUCCCGAUAAUGAUAGUGACCAGGAACAAGGAAAGAAUGGGAAAAGAGAGAACAAGAAGGUUUACAAGAAGGCUAAAGGCGAGGCACACCUUGGAAAGGAGUGGGAUUCGGAUUGCUCUUCGUCCGACUCCGACGACGAAGGACUCGUCGCCACCGCCUUCAACAAAUCGUCUCUCUCCCCCAACGAGCAUCACACCUGCCUCAUGGCAAAGGAGAAGAAGGUAAGUACUCGAAAUGCUACUGCAUAUGCCUCUUCAAGUGAUGACGAAUCUAGCGAUGAUGAAAUAGACUACGCUAGUUUGUUCAAGGGCUUAGAUAGAACUAAAAUCGAUAAGAUCAAUGAAUUGAUUGAUGCCUUGAAUGAUAAGAAUAGAUUGUUAGAAAAGUAAGAGGAUCUUUUGUAUGAAGAACAUGAUAAAUUUGUAGAGGCACAAAAAUCUCUUGCUUUAGAAGUUAAAAGGAAUGAAAUGCUUUCUUGUGAACUAUCUACUUACCAUGAUACCAUUUCUAGUUUAAAAAGUGUUAAUGAUGAUUUAAAUGCUAAACUAGAAGUAGCAAAUAGAUCUAACUCUUGUGUAGAACAUGUUGUGAUUUGCAAUAGGUGUAAAGAUCUUAAUAUUGAUGCUUGUAGUGAACACCUAGUUUCUAUUGCAAAGUUAAAUGAUGAAGUGGCUAGUCUUAAUGCCCAACUUAAGACUAGCAAAAAUGAAUUUGAUAAACUAAAAUUUGCAAGGGAUGCCUACACCAUUGGUAGACAUCCCUCAAUUAAGGAUGGGCUUGGCUUUAAGAGAGAAGCCAAGAACUUAACAAGUCAUAAGGCUCCCAUUCCCGCCAAGGAGAAAGGGAAGGCUCCUAUGACUAAUAGUGCUCAAAAGAACCAUGCUUUCAUGUACCAUGACAGGAGAUAUUCUAGGAAUGUUCAUAGAAGUUAUGAUGCUUUUGAUUCUCAUGCCAUGAUUGCUUCAAGUUCUUCUAUUAUGCAUGAUAGAAAUUUUGCUAGGAAAAAUGUUGUUCAUCAUAUGCCUAGAAGAAAUGUUGUUCAUGUACCUAGGAAAGUAAGUAAUGAACAUUCUACAAUAUACCAUGCUUGCAAUGCUUCCUUUGCUAUUUGUAGAAAUGAUAAGAAGGUGGUCGCUAGAAAAUUAGGGGCAAAAUGCAAGGGAGAUAAAACUUGCAUUUGGGUCCCUAAGGAUAUUGUCACUAACCUUGUAGGACCCAACAAGAGUUGGGUACCUAAGACCCAAGCCUAAUUUGCCUUGCAGGUUUAUGCAUUCGGGGGAUCAAGCUGGAUUAUCGACAGCGGAUGCACAAACCACAUGACGGGGGAGAAGAAGAUGUUCACCUCCUACGUCAAGAACAAAGAUUCCCAAGACUCAAUUGGUAUCAGAGCAUAGUCGGAGUCUGAAUAUCCAAUCAAGUCAAAGGUAGACCCCUUUGGAUACCAGAUCCCGAAGCAAGGCGUAGCGACUAAAUGUCUUAGAUUCGCGGAACUUGGAUUGAUUUAUAGCAUACAUGUGUUUUAUGCCUUGAUCAUGUUCCUUAUGCAUUUUGUUGUUUAUUUAUUGUGCUCAAGUUGUACAAACACUCCUCGGACCUCACAAGUCCAUUUGCAAGUGAUGCACAUAUUUAGGGGGAGAUGUGCUACAACUUGACCCUUUGAGACUAACUGUGUGCUUGAGUUUGCUUGAUUUAGUCUCAAAGGUGGAUUGAAAGGAAAAGGUGGACUUGGACCAUGAAAGACUUCCACUGCACUCCGAUGAGAGGGUAACUUACUCCAAGUUCAUCUUCAUACUCUUAUUGCCUUUUUACUCUUAGUUGAAGUUUUUUGUGAGGCAAUGGGGUUAAAAGGGCCAAAAAUGAUCUCGUUUUGGUGUUUGAUGCCAAAGGGGGAGAAAUUAAGGCCAAAGCAAUAAAUGGAUCAGCUACCACUUGAGAAUUUUGAAAAUAGUAGAAUAGAGCUUUUGGUUUGACAAAACUAUCUUAUUGUCUCUCUUGUCAAAAGUUGGCCUCUUGUGGGGAGAAUGGUUGAUUAUGGGGAAAAGGGGGAGUUUUUUUUGAAAUCUUUGAUCAAUUUCUCUUGGAACAACUCUCUUUAUGUCUCAACAAGUGUGUUUGACUUAGAGAUAGGAAAUUGAGGUUGAUUUGCAAAAACAAAACCAAGUGGUGGCAAAGAAUGAUCCAAAUAUGCCAAAUUUGAUUCAAAACAAAUCUGUGUACUUAUCUGCAUUGAAAUUGCACAUCUUUGUAUUGCUUUUGUUGUGUUGGCAUAAAUCACCAAAAAGGGGGAGAUUGAAAGGGAAAUGUGCCCUUGGGCCAUUUCCAAAGUAUUUUGGUGAUUGAGUGCCAACACAAGUGGUCAUGUGUUAAUCUAUGCCAAAUGAUGGACAAAGUGAAAACCAACAUAAAGGUAUGUUUCUAAGUCUUAGUACUUUGUUUUAAGGACUAAUGUAUUGUGUCUAAGUACUGAAAACAGGAGAAAUCAAUUUGGAAAAGUGAUGGCUUUGUUUAGCCAAAGACAGUUCAGUCUGGGAGCACCGGACUGUCCGGUGGUGCACCGGACAGUGUCUGGUGCGCCAGGCUGGCUCUGGUGAAAAGGCCGCUCUCGGGAAUUCGUCAGCGGCGUACGGCUAAAAUUCACCGGACCGUCCGGUGUGCACCGGACUGUCCGGUGAGCCAACGGUCGGCCGAGCCAACGGUCGGCCGAGCCAACGGUCGGCCGAGCCAACGGUCGGUCGCGCAAUCCGCGCGUGACGCGUGGCCGGGCCAACGGUCUGAAGGGGGCACCGGACUGUCCGGUGUGCACCGGACGGUGUCCGGUGCGCCAACGGCUCCAAAUCGCCCAACUUUUUUUCAUUUUAGCCCUUUUGGGGUUUCUUUUGCACAAUUAUACCCUUUGUAGUUUCAUUUCAAAAAAUGGACCCUUACCUCGGCGCCGUCAUCAUUGGCGCCGAGGUAACACAUAGUGGCGCCAACAUAAUUGGCGCCAACUUUUCCUACAUGGCAGCCGAUGUGGCAAGUCUCAGGGGUCGGCGCCAUAGAUCUUGGCGCCGACUCCCCUGGAUAGCACCGGACCCCACCGUCAAGGGGGGUCGGCGCCAAGAUCUAUGGCGCCGACCCCCUGGGACUUGCCACAUCGGCUGCCACGUAGGAAAAGUUGGCGCCAAUGGUACUGGCGUCGAUGUGUGUUACCUCGGCGCCAAUGAUGAUGGCGCCGAGGUUGGGGUCCAUUUUUUGAAAUGAAACUGUAAAGGGCAUAUUUGUGCAAAAAAAAACCCAAAAAGGGCUAAAAUCGAAAAAAGUUGGCCAAAUCGCCAACGGUCGGCUGCGCCAAAAUAGGAAAGAAAUCUGCACCGGACAGUGUCCGGUGGUGCACCGGACUGUCCGAUGUGCCAGUCGACAGAAGGCAAGAAUUGCCUUCCUGGAAUGUUCUCAACGGCUCCUAGCUGCCUUGGGGCUAUAAAAGAGACCCCUAGGCGCAUGGAGGAGUACACCAAGCAUCCUUUGAGCAUUCCUAAGCACCAAGACCUCAUUUCCGCGCAUUCGAUUCUUUGUGAUAGCAACUAGAGCUCAAUUUGAGUAGAGAACUCUUUGAGUUGUGUUGAGAGCUCAAGUUGUGACUUGUGUGCGUAUUUGUGCUCUGAUUUUGUGUCUUGUGUGUGUUGCUCAUCCCAUCCUUACUUCCGUACUUCUUUGUGAACAUCAGAUUGUAAGGGCGAGAGGCUCCAAGUUGUGGAGAUUCCUCGCAAACGGGAUAUAGUAAAACAAAGCAAAACACCGUGGUAUUCAAGUGGGUCUUUGGACCGCUUGAGAGGGGUUGAGUGCAACCCUCGUCCGUUGGGAUGCCACAACGUGGAGUAGGCAAGUGUUGGACUUGGCCGAACCACGGGAUAAACCACUAUGCCUCUCUGUGUUGAUCUCCUUGUGGUUAUUGUGUUUUGCAAGAACUCCUCUCUAGCCACUUGGCUUUAUUGUGCUAACUCCUAAUCAUGUUUGUGGCAUUAAGUUUUAAGUUUUUACAGGAUCACCUAUUCACCCCCCUCUAGGUGCUCUCGGGAAAUCCGAUCGAAAACCGAAUGUCGCUGCUUUAAUCUUGAGGAAGAACGUCCGAGCCUAUCCGGACGACCCAAAGGAACCAAGUUUGCACCUGACAGAGCUGGCUUUCGAACGAUAUCAGCGAACAAAACCGGCAAAGAAUGGCGAUGAGAAACCAAUUUCCAAGACUUUGAUUCUUCCUCAGAGAAACGCUGCCAUUCAAUGAUCCAAUUUGGACUGCUAGAAUUCCAGAGGUGCAGGUACGCUUUGAACAAGGAGCAGGAGUAAGAACGAAGCCGAUAAACUACGAAACCAACAUUCUUGCAAGAAAGCGAGAAACGAAAGACCCGAUCCGAAAGGGGCGAAACCCUGAAUAAGUCCACCGCGCCACCAAUGAAAGAUUGAAGGAGAAGCCCCGCAACUUCUGAACACAAUCGCAAGGAGCAUCUGCCAAAGGAGAUGACUAAAAAGAACUCGUGGCGGUCGAAAUUACCUGGGAGGAGGUUGAUCGGGCGAUUAAACUUGCUGAAAAUCUAAUCCUGAAAACGAAGACCGUCGGAGAAAUCCAAAGCCGAGCAUCCCAAGCCAGCCUGAGGACCCCCCAUGACCACGUGCUGAGGGGCACCUAUUACCAAAUCUAUCAUCAAGCCUGUUAAAGAGGCUAAAUAUUUUUCUAUUAUACUUGACUGUACCCUAGAUGUGAGUCAUCAAGAACAAAUGAGUUUGUUAGUUCGAUGUGUUAACAUGUCUUGUGGUAAAGUUGAGGAAUAUUUUCUGGGUUUCAUAAAGGUAGGUGACACAUCUGGUGAGGGGCUUUUCAAUUCAUUGAUUGAUUCCAUUAAGUACUUUGGUCUAAAUAUAGAAGAUGUCAGGGGUCAAGGUUACGAUAAUGGCUCUAAUAUGAAAGGAAAGAACAAGGGGGUGCAAAGACGAUUGCUUGAUAUAAAUCCAAGAGCUUUGUAUAUGUCAUGUGCUUGCCAUAGCCUUAAUCUUACUCUUUGUGAUAUGGCUAAAUCUUGUGUCAAAGCUAUUUCAUUUUUUUUGGGAUCGUGCAACGAAUAUAUGUAUUAUUUUCUAGUUCUACCAAAAGAUGGGACGUUUUGAUUAACCAUGUUGAAAGCUUGACUGUGAAGUCAUGGAGCAAUACACGUUGGGAGAGUCGCAUCAAAAGUGUCAAAGCAAUUAGAUUUCAAGCUCCUAAAAUUAGAUCAGCUUUGCUUCAGUUAUGUAAAGAUAAGGAUGUUGAAGCCAAGGAUAGGAGUGAUGCAAAAAAUUUAUUUGAAGUGCUUGGAACCUUUGAGUUUAUACUUGGUAUGAUUAUUUGGUAUGAUAUUUUAUUUGUUGUCAGCAAAGUGAGCAAGAAGUUGCAGUCACCAUCCAUGUGCAUUGAUGGUACCUUAAAGAGCAUAGAGGACACCAUAUGUUUCUUUGAAAACUAUAGAAAUGAAGGAUUUGCUUCUAGUUUGAUCACUGCAAAAGAAAUUGCAUCCAAACUUAGUUUACAGCCAUCAUUUCCAGUAAAGCGUCGUGCUACUAGGAAGAAACACUAUGAUGAAACUAGCAAUGAGGAAGAAAAUCUAGAAGCUCAAAAUUUGCACCAAUGUCUGCUGGUGUGCAUGCAAACACUAUGAUGAAACUAGCAAUGAGGAAGAAAAUCUAGAAGAAACACUAUGAUAAAAGAAAUUGCAUCCGAACUUAGUUUACAGCCAUCAUUUUAGAGACUAUUGAAUUAAUGGACCAUUGUACCAAAUUUGCAAGUACUUUAUCUUUCGAUGGCUCAUGUGAUGUUGAUUUAAAUGAUCUAAUUUCAGAGCUUAGUGUUCUGCGGUUGACUUUAUCAGAUAAACCAAUGUCUGCUAUGGAGAUUUUUGAGCAUGUCAGAGAAGUGGAUAAUUAUCCUAAUAUUUCUAUUGCUUACCAGAUUUUAUUUACCAUGUCUGUUGCUGUAGCAUCAGCUGAAAGAAGCUUUUCAAAGUUGAAGUUGUUGAAGAAUUAUUUGAGGUCUAAAAUAUCUCAGGAAAGAUUAAAUGGUUUGGCUAUCUUAUGUAUUGAGAAGAUAUUAUUGGAUGAGAUUGAUAUUGACACCAUCAUCAAUGACUUCACAUCUAAACAUGUAAGAAAAUUUUAAGGUAACAUCAUAAUAUAUAUCUUUUUAUUUACUUGUUAUUUGAUAUACAUAUUUUAAGAUGUAUUUUGAGUGUUUAUAUUGAUAAUAUUUAUACAAUAAGGACCUCCAUUUUAAAUUUUGUCCCGG
rnacentral:lncRNA from 1 species